rnacentral:rRNA from 1 species
GAUGAACGCUAGCGGCAGGCCUAAUACAUGCAAGUCGAACGGUGUCUUCGGACAUAGUGGCGCACGGGUGCGUAACACGUAUGCAACCUACCUUACAUUGGGGGAUAGCCUUUCGAAAGGGAGAUUAAUACCGCAUAAGACAGUAGCUGGGCAUCCAGCAGCUGUUAAAGAUUUAUCGAUGUAAGCUGGGCAUGCGUCCAAUUAGCUAGUUGGUGAGGUAACGGCUCACCAAGGCAAUGAUUGGUAGGGGAACUGAGAGGUCAAUCCCCCACACUGGCACUGAGAUACGGGCCAGACUCCUACGGGAGGCAGCAGGAGGGAAUAUUGGGCAAUGGACGCAAGUCUGACACAGCCAUGCCGCGUGCAGGAUGAAGGCGUUAUGCGUUGUAAACUGCUUUUAUACAGGAAGAAACGACUCUUGCGAGAGGCAUUGACGGUACUGUAUGAAUAAGCACCGGCUAACUCCGUGCCAGCCGCCGCCGUAAUAC